rnacentral:rRNA from 1 species
AGAGUUUGAUUCUGGCUCAGAACGAACGCUGGCGGCGUGGAUAAGACAUGCAAGUCGAACGAGAGAAUUGCUAGCUUGCUAAUAAUUCUCUAGUGGCGCACGGGUGAGUAACACGUGAGUAACCUGCCCCCGAGAGCGGGAUAGCCCUGGGAAACUGGGAUUAAUACCGCAUAGUAUCGAAAGAUUAAAGCAGCAAUGCGCUUGGGGAUGGGCUCGCGGCCUAUUAGUUAGUUGGUGAGGUAACGGCUCACCAAGGCGAUGACGGGUAGCCGGUCUGAGAGGAUGUCCGGCCACACUGGAACUGAGACACGGUCCAGACACCUACGGGUGGCAGCAGUCGAGAAUCAUUCACAAUGGGGGAAACCCUGAUGGUGCGACGCCGCGUGGGGGAAUGAAGGUCUUCGGAUUGUAAACCCCUGUCAUGUGGGAGCAAAUUAAAAAGAUAGUACCACAAGAGGAAGAGACGGCUAACUCUGUGCCAGCAGCCGCGGUAAUACAGAGGUCUCAAGCGUUGUUCGGAAUCACUGGGCGUAAAGCGUGCGUAGGCUGUUUCGUAAGUCGUGUGUGAAAGGCGCGGGCUCAACCCGCGGACGGCACAUGAUACUGCGAGACUAGAGUAAUGGAGGGGGAACCGGAAUUCUCGGUGUAGCAGUGAAAUGCGUAGAUAUCGAGAGGAACACUCGUGGCGAAGGCGGGUUCCUGGACAUUAACUGACGCUGAGGCACGAAGGCCAGGGGAGCGAAAGGGAUUAGAUACCCCUGUAGUCCUGGCAGUAAACGGUGCACGCUUGGUGUGCGGGGAAUCGACCCCCUGCGUGCCGGAGCUAACGCGUUAAGCGUGCCGCCUGGGGAGUACGGUCGCAAGAUUAAAACUCAAAGAAAUUGACGGGGACCCGCACAAGCAGCGGAGCAUGUGGUUUAAUUCGAUGCAACGCGAAAAACCUUACCAGAACUU